rnacentral:rRNA from 1 species
GAUGAACGCUGGCGGCGUGCCUAACACAUGCAAGUCGAGCGGCAGCGAGGGGUGCUUGCACCCUGUCGGCGAGCGGCGGACGGCUGAGUAACGCGUGGGAACCUUCCCUAAAGUGAGGAAUAACUGCCCGAAAGGGGAGCUAAUACCGCAUAUUAUUUUCGGAUCAAAGGAUUCAUUCGCUAUGGGAGCGGCUCGCGUCGGAUUUGGUAGUUGGUGAGGUAAUGUCACACCAAGGCGACGAUACGUAGCUGGGCUGAGAGGAUGACCAGCCAGACUGGAACUGAGACACGGUACAGACUCCUACGGGAGGCAGCAGUGAGGAAUCUUGCACAAUGGGCGAAAGCCUGAUGGAGCAACGCCGCGUGAAGGAUGAAGGCCUUCGGGUUGUAAACUGCUUUUAUAAGUGAGGAAUAUGACGGUAACUUAUGAAUAAGGAUCGGCUAACUACGUG